CCCUUAGAUGUUCUGGGCCGCACGCGCGCUACACUGAUGCAUUCAAAGAGCCUAUCCUUGACCGACAGGUCCGGGUAAUCUUUGAAUCUGCAUCGUGACGGGGAUAGAUUAUUGCAAUUAUUAAUCUUCAACGAGGAAUGCCUAGUAGGCGCAAGUCAUCAGCUUGCGUCGAUUACGUCCCUGCCCUUUGUACACACCGCCCGUCGCUCCUACCGAUUGGGUGUGCUGGUGAAAUGUUCGGAUCGGCCGUUUGUCGCGGUUUCCGCGUCAUGUGGCUGAGAAGUUCAUUAAACCCUCCCACCUAGAGGAAGGAGAAGUCGUAACA
rnacentral:rRNA from 1 species